ACAUAAGAAACAGAAACUCUCUCACAUAAUUCUGCACAAAAUCUACCUUUUCUAUACAUACGUGUAAAUCGAAUUAUAAAUAUAACACUAACGAUAAGGCUAAGUACAAGUAAAUCUUUUUUACUUUGAAUUUGAAGACAGCUUGACUGACGUGAGGAAUAAAAAUCCAAAAUGAGACCAACGGUUGCGAUUUUUAUUAUCCAGUUUACCGUGACUAUAAUUAUGUUUGUUGAAACGGCUUCUACUUUUCCCACAGAAAAUAGAAGCACAAUGCAAGAUACAGCUCCUGAGAAGAUUAACAUGACAACGUCGUUUUUCGAUAUCGAGAUGAUACAAGUUGACGUCAGUGAAGGUUCAGUCGACUCCACCAAAGUCUGGCUAAAUUUUCAAGAAUUGGUGAACAUGGCGAAAAGGUAUUCAUCGUUUCAAAAUAUACUUGUCCAUGCUUUGAUGAAACUUGACUUCCACCAUGACGAGAUUCAGAGCCUUCUUAACUACGGCUUUACUACCGUCAGAGGUCAGAACGUGUCCUUUCAAGAUGUCUCUAAAUUUUGCUGCUCCUUUGAGGUCUAGAAUUCCGAAAAUAAAUAUUAAUAAUUAAACGUA